UACGUAGGGUGCAAGCGUUAAUCGGAAUUACUGGGCGUAAAGCGUGCGCAGGCGGUGAUGUAAGACAGAUGUGAAAUCCCCGGGCUCAACCUGGGAACUGCAUUUGUGACUGCAUCGCUGGAGUACGGCAGAGGGGGGUAGAAUUCCACGUGUAGCAGUGAAAUGCGUAGAUAUGUGGAGGAAUACCCGAUGGCGAAGGCAGCCCCCUGGGAUAACACUGACGCUCAUGCACGAAAGCGUGGGGAGCAAACAGGAUUAGAUACCCCCAGUAGU
rnacentral:rRNA from 1 species